GCCGAGCCAAGUAGCGGUGGCUUGUCACCCGAGCGGGGGCAUUAAGGUGGCGUGGAUGCCUGGUCGUUGCGCUUGGGCCUGGGCCUGUGGAUUGCACUAUGCGGGCCGCCCGUUCCAAGUUGAGUAGUGUGCAUGGGCGCCUGGUCGAAGGCUCGAGCGUCCCUGCACCUGGAGUGGCGGGCACUGCGUGAGGCUGGCUUCACAGAGCAGCGAGUACCGCCCGCUUCCAACGGUGGAAGGAUAACGGGCCGCUGCGACCCUGGCCCGCUUCCGGCCCAAUCGCCCUCCACGGCAAACCACCAUCUUU
rnacentral:SRP_RNA from 1 species